rnacentral:sRNA from 1 species
ACAACACGGGUCGCGUAAGGGACAGAGUCCCA